rnacentral:tRNA from 1 species
CCCGGCCUGGCCGACGCGGCCAUCGGCUUCAAGACGGUCGGCGAGGCGAUCGCGCUGCGCAACCGGGUGCUCGGCCUGCUCGACCGGGCC